UAAGGAAUAUUGCGCAAUGGGCGCAAGCCUGAUCCAGCCACGCCGCGUGUGUGAAGAAGGCCUUCGGGUUGUAAAGCACUUUCGGACGGAACGAAAUCGCGCGGGCGAAUACCCCGCGUGGAUGACGGUACCGUAAGAAGAAGCACCGGCUAACUACGUGCCAGCAGCCGCGGUAAUACGUAGGGUGCGAGCGUUAAUCGGAAUUACUGGGCGUAAAGUGUGCGCAGGCGGCCGAGCAAGUCGAGUGUGAAAGCCCCGAGCUUAACUUGGGAAUUGCGCUCGAAACUACUUGGCUGGAGUGUGGCAGAGGAGGGUGGAAUUCCACGUGUAGUGGUGGAAUGCGUAGAUAUCCGGAGGAACACCAGUGGCGAAAGCGGCUCUCUGGGGGCAACCUGACGCUGAGGCGCGAAAGCGUGGGGAGCGAACCGGAUUAGAUACCCUGGUAGUCCCUGAGCGGGCUGGCAAGGCGCAU
rnacentral:rRNA from 1 species